rnacentral:rRNA from 1 species
CCUACGGGAGGCAGCAGUGGGGAAUUUUGGACAAUGGGCGCAAGCCUGAUCCAGCCAUUCCGCGUGAGUGAAGAAGGCCUUCGGGUUGUAAAGCUCUUUCGCAAGGGAAGAAAACUUAGUCACUAACAUUGACUGAGGUUGACGGUACCUUGAUAAGAAGCACCGNAU